rnacentral:sRNA from 1 species
CUGAAUUCGGAGCCUGUGCAAGCAGACAUGCGGUGCUUGAAGUGCUUCACCGGCCGUGGCGCAUCUGAUAGACGGGUGG